rnacentral:rRNA from 1 species
UGGGGAAUUUUGGACAAUGGGCGAAAGCCUGAUCCAGCAAUGCCGCGUGUGUGAAGAAGGCCUUCGGGUUGUAAAGCACUUUUGUCCGGAAAGAAAUCCUUGGCUCUAAUACAGUCGGGGGGAUGACGGUACCGGAAGAAUAAGCACCGGCUAACUACGUGCCAGCAGCCGCGGUAAUACGUAGGGUGCAAGCGUUAAUCGGAAUUACUGGGCGUAAAGCGUGCGCAGGCGGUUUGCUAAGACCGAUGUGAAAUCCCCGGGCUCAACCUGGGAACUGCAUUGGUGACUGGCAGGCUAGAGUAUGGCAGAGGGGGGUAAAUUCCACGUGUAGCAGUGAAAUGCGUAGAGAUGUGGAGGAAUACCGAUGGCGAAGGCAGCCCCCCUGGGCCAAUACUGACGCUCAUGCACGAAAGCGUGGGGGAGCAAAACAGGAUUAGAUACCCUGGUAGUCCACGCCCUAAAGCGAUGUCAACUGUUGUUGGGGAUUCAUUUCCUUAGUAACGUAGCUAACGCGUGAAGUUGACCGCCUGGGGGAGUAC